GGAUAACGCGUCUGACUACGGAUCAGAAGAUUCUAGAAGCCCAUGGAAACAAGGCGAUGACGGCGCUUGAGGGUGACCAGACCUCCUCAAUCAUUCCAUCAGCCACCCAGGACUCAACAGCAGAACCUCAGAGGACUCAGCUGAAAGAGGUUUUCACUCGAGCACUAACCACAGAGAAAUGGGAAGUGCCAUCCUGCUGUCAUACGCAGCCGAUGGCUGGGUAGGACUAAAUGCCCUUCUGUGGUGAGAUGAACCAAGACGGCAGAUGGGGGAAUAACAUCAGUGAGAGAGAGAUUACGAAUGGAUCCUUGUAUUGCAGAUCAAACUGGGUUGUCUCUUCUCAAACCACCCAGGCAGUUUCUGAAUGUCCCACGAUAGGGGUAGGAGAAAAGAAAAAAAAGACAAAACAGGAGACGGUGGGUAAGAAAACCUAAAAGGCACAAUGAGGCAAAGGCCUAAGAUGGAGGCUGGCUUUGGGAUCUGAAAUCCGGCCACAAUCCUUGUUUUACCUAAAGUCCAAGAAUUGUCAAAAAGAAAACCCAGAAGGGCUAGUCAUUCUAAAUUUUAAAAUCUUUUCUUCCUGGCCUACCAAGUCCUUGUGUUUUCUUUCUAGGCGCCCAUAAAUACAACCCCAUUACAGUUCUAUUUGGCUAAUAAUUUACAGAACAUUUAAAAUACCAGGUAGGUGAACGUCUCUUCAUGGCUUUUGUGUAAGGGCCUGAAGCGAAGAGAAAAACAACUGAUUGGAGAUUCCUAUCUGGCGCCUUCUCCAGGGAAACUGACAACCAGAGAAAUCUGUUGCUAGGAUUUCUAGGACAUCUGGAAAUUCCCUUUUUGUUCUUUCUCAACAAUAUAAAAUGGUAUAUUCGCAAACCUAUCUGAAUCACCUCAAUCUAGGCCACUUUGAAAAUUUCAUUUAAAAAUGUAAUCACAGAUUUUUAAACUAAUUACCCAAUUUGCAAACAAAUCCCAGCUACUUCUGGUCUUGAACAUGGAGCAAAGGUGUGUCAGUAAGGCCAACAUUCUUAGGUUGACAGAGACAGGUUAACACAUUGGCUGGCUUCAUUUACCCCCCUGCCACGCCCCACACUGAGCUGGAUGAUUUGAUGGGAAGAGAGGGUCCCCACCUCAGGGUUCACUUCCCCAGCCCCAGCGUUCAUGGGUUUUCAGGAGGCUCAGCCUGU
rnacentral:lncRNA from 1 species